CCCUCCCCAGAGAAAUACGGCAAGCCCCAAUGCUUUUGAGUUUUAGAAAAGCCCUGAAAACAUGGCUAUGUGCCCAGGAUUUCGAAGAUUAAAGGAUAAAGACGACCCGGACUGAUUUACGGCUACAGCACGAGGAUUUUGGAUGAAUGGAUUUUAAUCAUAUGUUUUAUAUUUUUAUAUUGUUUUAAUAUUGUUUUAAUUGGAUUUUCAUUUCUGUUUUAAUUAUGUGUAGGCAUCGAAUUGUUGCCAAUUUUGUACGCCGCCCUGAGUCCCUAGAAAUAAAUAAAUAAACAAAAUACUUCAAUGGAUCUCACAUUAUCCCCUCAAAUUUAUUUGGUGAAAGUGGGCCUUUUCAGUGUCUAUUUCCAGACACUGGAACUCCUUCCCUAGAAAGGCCAGGAUGGCCCCAUCCCUGCUGGGCUUCAUACAUAGAUAAAAACAUUCCUCUGUCAUUCGACAUUUAUAAACUGAUGAGGGAUAGGAUUUUAAAGAUGAUUUUAGAGAUUGUAUUGUUCUGUUUUAUUAUACCACAGUAAUUUUUAUAUAUUCUGAUUUUAGUGUUUUUGAAUACUUGGAGCCAGAUUGUAUUCAUUUUCACGGUUGACCGCAACACAAUAAUAAUAAUAGUAGUAGUAGUAAUGAUAGUAAUAAUAAUGACUUUGUAAUACACACUGCUUCACUCCCUUCUCAGCUUCCUUUCUGGAAGAAUCCUUUCUUGGGAGGUGUUAGCUGGCCCUGACUGUUUCCUUUGUGGAAUUUUCAAUUUCCCUGCUUUCAAAGUGUUGUUCUUUAUUUACUGUCCUGGUUUUAGAGAUUAUAUUGUUCUGCAUUAUUCUGUCCCAGUAAUUAUUUCAUAUUAAAGUAGAAUCUUACUUAUCCAACAUUCGCUUAUACAAUGUUCUGGUUUAUCCAACGCAGUCUGCCUUUUCGUAAUCAAUGUUUUUGUAGUCAGUAUUUUAAAUUCAUUGUGAUAUUUUAGUGGUAAAUUUGUAAAUACAAUACAGUAAAGUCUCACUUAUCCAACAUAAACGGGCCGGCAGAAUGUUGGAUAAGCUAAUAUGUUGGAUAAUAAGGAGGCAUUAAGGAAAAGCCUAUUAAACAUCAAAUUAGGUUAUGAUUUUACAAAUGAAGCACCAAAACAUCAUGUUAGACAACAAAUUUGGCAGAAAAAGUAGUUCAAUGCGCAGUAAUGCUAUGUAGCAAUUUAUGAAUUUAGCACCAAAAUAUCACAAUAUAUUGAAAACAUUGACUACAAAAAUGCGUUGGAUAAUCCAGAACGUUGGAUAAGCGAGACUCUACUGUAAUUACCAAAUAGCAUUACUGCACAUGGAACUACUUUUUCUGUCAAAUUUGUUGUAUAAUAUGAUGUUUUGGUGCUUAAUUUGUAUAACUAUUACCUAAUUUGAUGUUUAAUCGGCUUUUCCUGAAUCCCUUCUUAUUAUCCAACAUAUUCACUUAUCCUGCCGGCCUGUUUAUGUUGGAUAAGUGAGACUCUACUGUAUAUUGAUAAUCUUAUAUUAUCUGCUCAGAACUGGAUUAUAUGAGGCCCCUUCUUCACAGCUGUAUAAAAUGCACAUUGAAGUGGAUUAUAUGGCAGUGUGGAGUCAAGAUAAUCCAGUGCAAAGCAGAUAAUAUAAGAUUAUAAAUGGGUUAUAUAGCUGUGUGGAAGGGCCUUGAGUCUACACUGCCAUAUAAUCCAAUGCAAAUUAGACAAUCUGUGGAAGAAGCCUAAGUGAGGCCUAGGUCUGCCUGUCCCCUAACUGAACCCUGGCUGUCCCUUGGCUGAAUUGGUUGCUAGGAGACCAAGUGGGCAGAGAUUAGCCCUCUAAACUGGCAGCAAUUGGAUAAAAACAAUUAUUGCUCUCCCUCUAAUUAGGACUUUAUUUUUCUUUUCUUUUUGUUGUAUCAACCUAGAGGCAUGGAUGAUGGGUUGUGUUGUGAAAUUU
rnacentral:lncRNA from 1 species